rnacentral:lncRNA from 1 species
CUUGGAGUCUGAAGAUGAUGAAGAUGCUAUUAUUGAGAAAAGAUGUCAAAUGAGGAAGAAUAUUGAACAGAAAUAUCAAUAUGUUCCAUUAUCAGUUGAUAGUGUUAACCCCAGUCCCGCAGUAUCAGUCUGUGUUGUUAGUGAUGAUAUUCUGAUAUUGUAGCUCAAGAGGCAACUGAAGACUUGGAAAAUACCAUCAAUGAGGCUGAGAGGAAGCUCUCCACAGGUGAUGUUCCUCCAGUAUUAAGAACUGAUGAUCAGUUGAUGAGUGAAGAUGAGGUCAAAGAGAUAAAUACAGGACUGAGUACCAUAAAGACAGGAGCUGUACUGGAUAUAUUCAGUGAAGAGGAUAUCACUGGGAAGGAGAAGUCAUGGCUGAGUCCGAGUAAGGCACUGUUAGCUGAUGGUAUUGGAGAGAAUGAUCAUUAACUGAUAACUGGGAUGAUGCUGAAGGAUAUUACAAGGUGCGUAUUGGUGAACAACUGGACAGACUAUACAUGGUCUAUGGGUACACUGGUCAGGGAGUGUUCAGUAAUGUAGUGAGGGCUAGGGACACCUCAAGAUCAAGUCAAGAAGUAGCCAUUAAGAUAAUCAGGAACAAGAUGAUGUAGCCUAUCACCCAGUGACUGCCAGGGAAGAGCAGGCAAUUUCACUCCAAAUCUCUCGAGUGCUUUAAGCAAGUCAUUCAACUGAAGUGGGUCUAAAAAUCAGAAGAUAAAGACGAAACCUUAUAUAUGCAGUAGCUCAUCGAUAGUUUGAGUUCAGUUGCCUUGAUAAGAAAAGCUGCACAAGAUUGGUAUUGCCUGAGUUGGAAAUAUUAAAGAAGUUAAAUGCUACUGAUCCUGAUGACAAGUAAGUUCCUUAGUU